CUCAUCGGACGGCGGCCGUGAGAGCUGCGUUCUCAUUGGCUUCCCGCCCUGUCCGUCUCCCCUUCUCUGCAGGCCGCAGGGGGCUCAGUGAGUCGGAGCUGGAGCAGCCGCUUGGCUUGCUGAAGCUGGCGCGGGAUUUUGGGAGGGGGCUGGAGCAAGGGCCGAGAAGGAGAAGUGGGGCGGGAUGAUUCAUCCCUUUCCACCCCCACCCCCCACACGCUUCCUUCUGAGCUCGAGUGCAGUCACCCGGGAGCAGGGGGCGUGAGAACCCCUCCCAAUCGUGAGUGGGCUGCUGUUGCCUGUCGCCGGCGCUUGGGGCUUGCCUUCCAGCUCUAGUCUGCGCGCCGACCCACCCCUUCUCCUUCCGCUGCUGGCAUCAAGCUGGCACCUCCCCCGUGCCUUCCUGGGGGCUUUUGGGCUUUUCUCCAGCACUCAGAAGCAGCUGGAGCGCCCGCAUCCAUCGUGUUUGGGGGAGAUGGUUGUGUGUCAUGGCUGCAGUGCCCCCUUCUUGCGCUCCCCCCCCUCCCCGGUAGCUUUUUCCCUACUCCGAGGCAAAGGCUCAGUAUUCCUCCAAAAGCUGUACCACCAUCGCUACAUGUUUUAAAUGUGUGGAGGCCCCUACGCCUUGGAGUGAAGGUACCUAGGUUCUUCUCACCCUCCCAGCCUCUCGAAGCUCAUCCCUCAGCAUCUGGCUGGGUUUUAGAGAGGCCCCAGGAACAUUAGUUGAGUUGAAGCAGGCAGAGUUUGUGUGUUUCUGAGUGCUAUUGUUUGGAAACUAGCUAUGUGAACGAAUUGCUAUGGCAUUGCAGAUUCCAAUGUUUGAUUCCAAACGAUAUUAUCCAAUGUCACAUGCCCUUAGCAUCUACCAUAAAUUCCAGAAUAGGGGGCGGGGUGUUAUUUUUGCUUCUGUGAGGUAAUGAAGGAAUCUAAUGAUAGCCCUUGUAUUCUAACCGAUUUCUCUUUUCCCCAAAUCGUGCUAGAGAUAAUGGAUCCUGCCCCUUGCCUGCAUAACCCUUAAAUGAGGACGACGAUAGAAUCUUUGAAUCAAUAUAUCAGCCUGUUACUCAAUGGGUAGAAUCUUUGAAUCCAGUGACAUUCCAAGGAAGUAAUUUAUCUUGGGGGCACACAUAGUUAAUUUUCUGAGUGAUUCAUAAAACAAGUGACAAAAAUGGUUUUCAAGUCCCGUGGGAUCUUCCAAAUUUUCAACUUCCAGUAGAUAACGAUUAUUCAUAGCUUCAUUUAUAAUUUAAAAGCACUUUUUUUUGUCCAGGGAAAAGAAGUACUUUCUAUAAUCUUUGAUUUUUGGAGAAAUAGUACAAAUAAAUUGGAUUAUCUCGCAAAUAUAUUUUUUAGCACAAUGACUACAGUAGUUGAUCAUUGGUUGUGUGGGAGGAAGAAUUCACAUUGUUAUUUAAAACUAUGUUAGUCACAAAUCCUACAGGGUUUAUUUCUAACCCAUAUUUUAAUUAGUUGAGACCAGAGCUGCUAAGGUAUAUGCAAUCUGUUUACAGGCAAAGAGUUUCUUCAGAUUUGAUUGGGGGCAUUAUCUAUAUUAGUGCAGGAUACAAAGACUACAUUAGUCCAAAGACACUUUGCUCAUGCUAAGUGAUUGAUUCUUAAGAAAUUGGUGGAGAGGGUCAUCCACCCUUGCAUGUUACAAUACUUUCAUGCAUUUUGCAUUCGCUUGUGCAAGUCAGGGAAACCUUGGCUGGCAAAGUAAGGAGCUGUCAUUCUUCUGGAGUCUGGGCUUUGCCUACCACGGUAUACCAUGAAGGAGGUCUGGGGAUUAACUAGGGUAUGCCGUGUAAGAGGUCCAGUCAUUAGCAGACAGGCUACCCUUGGUUCACAGCAAAGGGUGGGUGGUCUGAGGGACUGUCCAAUGGUAGGAUUCAGUGUCAGGUACAAAUACCCUCAAUACGAUGCAGACUUACGGAACAGUUGAUCAAUUAGGAAAUAGCUUAAGAUGAGUUAGCGUUGGGUGUGUUUGGUCAGGAACUAGCACAUCAGUCACUCCUAGAGAGCUCUCCAAAUGGCUGCCUUUUGACUCUUCCAGACAUCAUGACUUGAGUCAGUCCCCGUAAUUAGAACAGUUAUUCCCGUUUUUCAGAUUAAUGAACUGACUUUCACGAUCCAGUACUGGUGAGGCUAGUAUUAGAACCCAAGAAAGGGAAGGUUGUAGUUCCUUUUCUUCAUUCACCAAGUAAAUACUGAGUCCAGAUUUUGUCAGGUCCCCACAUAACAAAACCUGAAAUAUUCAACUUUUGCUAUCCCACUUAGCUUCUCCGAGAGUUUACCAUUUUUAAAAUUAAUUUCUCUAUUUUUGUUAGGCCUUUGAAGAUGUCCUCUUGUGUUGUACUACUUGACCAUGAUGUACUUUAAAGCCCACCACCCCGGGUUAUCUUUAAAGGGGAAUUUAAGAAAUCUGAAUGCGAUUGGUGACAUUGUAGAAUGUCAGCCCGCUGGGAGAUUGUUUUCUGUUCCAGCUGGUGGUUGACCGUGCCCUGGAGUGUGGGAUUGCUGGUCCUGUAGUUUCAUCAUCCCUGGUAAUGACUGCAGCUGUUCUCGUUUGUGUAAAUACCGGAUACGAUCCCAUGAAACUUACCAUUCGCCCGAACGAUGUUCUUCAGCAAUGAGGAGAGCAAAUUGGAGGAGCACUGGCAGCUUUUCCACUCUUAAAGGAAAGAUGAAUGUUUUCUAAUGAAAACUACAAUUGCUUUUGUAUUUCUUAAACUGUAAUGCUUGGUGGCUAAUUCUGUAUUCUCUCUGAGUUAAAGAACAAACACAAGGAAGGAGGUAUUUUCUGGUAUCCCUCCCUGUUCUCAUUUAGAGCCAUUUGUCUUCAGAUUUGUGGGUGUGGGGAGGAGGGGGUGGUUCUUCAGCACCAUGUCCACCUCUGUGCAGUCAUGCUUCCCACCGUGAUGAUAAUGGACUAAACUUCCGUACCUGUGAGCCAGCCGCAGUGAAAUGCUGUCCUUUCUAAGAGUCACCAUGGUCAUGGCCUCUUCUGCCAAUAGAAACCUUAACUAAGACAGGACCCCAAAGUGGAAUUAGAACAAUAGCUGCUAGUGCCCAGUUUCUGGAUGAGCUCAAACCAGCUUCAGGGCCUUCUUCACUUAGGAGCCGUGCUCAGAAUACUCGAUGAUAGGGGUACUUAAGCCCAGAUUCAUAUUUAUGCAUGUUACACAUCUAGUUAUAGCAGGCUGAAUUCUGGGUAAAACGGGCUUCUAAGAAAAAAGCAUACCCCCCUUUCCUGGAAGUGCUUACCCAAGGAGAGGCACAAGGAGAAGAGACUGAAAGUCUCCCCUCUGCCAAGGAUGAGUCAUCGUUGCUCAGUUCAGCUCAUGGCCUUUUCUUUUUCUAAAGAGUGUAUUCUUGCUUCCUUGCCUGCUCCAAUUAAUCUUUUGAGAUUUGGAUCCACUGUUUCCCCUCUGAAUUCUUCUCUUUCAGGAGUAUGAGGGUCGAGUACUACUGACAUAGAGACCAGAGAAAAAUAGGGGUGUUAUGCACCUUGGAUUAGGAGAGUGCCCAUCAAUAUUGUUAACUGAGACAAGUAGUUUGCAUUGGAAUUGUUUUACUUUUGUGUUGCUGGAACAAGAAUACCUGAGAACAACUUAACAGGGAGAAAUUAUGUCUUUUUCUCACCUCACCGCUUCAGAGGCUUUGGUCUACCCUGGGUAAAAAAUGUAGCAGAAAAGAGCACUUACAUUAUGGCCGACAAGAAGCAAAAAGAGAUAGGAAGGGACCAAGGACAAGAUACCCUCAAGGACCUACUCGUGGCUUGCUUCCUCCAGGGCAUGCUUCUUGGAAAAGCCUAAUCAAGAUAAAGAGUGAGUGAGUUGGGGAGAGAGCAGGUGCGUGUUGAAAAGGGAACUUGGAGUCGUCUGGGGAUGCGGAGCAAAAGGAAGUCUCAGUUACUGCUGACGGGGACGCAAAAUACAGCGUUUUGCAGAAUUUAGCAGUUUCCUACAAGACGUUCAGACUAUCAGAACAGUUCUUCAGGGGACAUUCCCAUCCGAGUGAUUCUAAAUUAUGUCAGGAUAAGUCUAGGACUGUCAUUAUUACCAGGACACUGACGAUGAACUUGGGGACACCACUGAACCACUAUAAUAUUUCCCUCUUCCAAAUGUGGCCACACCAAAAAUUGAUGGAGAAACACUGAUUCCCUACAGGAGUGAGCUUGUUGCUCGUACUUUUGCUACCCUGGCUAAGCUCCUGGAACGGACUGCGCUACCCACACCCACCCAGCUUUCCUUGAAUUCACAGACAAAAGACAGACACACACAGUUGUUCAAUUUCAAUUUGCCUUUUGACAGAGUUGCUGGAAGCUACUAUCUCCCACCUGGAGAAUCGUGCCCUUAUCGCUCUUCUCAUCUCAGCCCCUCCUGUCCGCCCUAAACUUUACGCACUCAGUUACAUUUAGUUCAUCUGCCUGUAGGGGCAGCCUGGGUUUCAAGAUCUGACAUGACUGGUCAACUUUUCUUCAUCAGAAGCAUGGCAAACACCUCUCCUCUCUCCUUGUGUCUCUCUGCUUGCCUUCAGGGAUUUGGAAGUCCCACAUACCCCUUCCGCCCAGCAGUUGGCCCAUGGCUUCUUUACUGAUAGAUCAAGAACCAACUGGGGAACAGGACCUUAGCAUCAGACCCACACCUACAUGAGUUUAUGUCCGUCUGCUUCCACUGUGGCCUAGAAACUCCAGAGAGUUCAUGGUCCCUUCCCUGGAAUCUGACGUAUUCAGUUUUUUGUUAAGUAUUACAAUAAAUGACAAUUUUCAAAUAACAUGAUAGGCAUUUUCUCUCCCUUGGUGAUGCAGAUAUAGGCCAGGUUAGACCAGAUUAAAAGUAGAUAAAGGCAAGUUUAUUAGGAGGAAGCUUUUAUGGGGUGAGGUGGGGGGUUCACCAAUCUCACAGGUUGAGGUCAGCAAAGUCACAAAUCCGGGCAACAAGGGGGGUUUAUAGUGUUUAGGUAUGGAUCUGGGAUGUUGUCUAUACAUGGUCAAAAACUGAGUCCCUGAGCAGGCACUCUUGGGUGGGUUGUGUAAACUCAGAGACAAGGAAUGAUGACAUGUUAACCGGGAGUUUUCUCCAAGCAGAUGGGGGAGUUUCCUCUGUGUGGGAGGGAUUUGGGGAAGGAGGCCAUACAGGGUUCCCACUUGUACUGGGGAUGAGCAGGGGUUCCAGCCUAACAGUACGGUCUAGGAAUAAGCUUAAUUUAAAGUUCCUUGUAUUAUAGUGAAAACCUAUCAUCCUUACUAAACAGAUCAGGCCUCAUCUCACUUUGAAGUGUGUCUGUUCUGGCAAAUGCUGUCUAUGGAGUUUUCCAACAAAUGGUGGAUGAACUUUUGCUUAGCUGGGCAAUUUCUACUAACGAAAGCAGUCGUUUUCAUUGAUGUUAUUGCUAGAAUAAAAACCUUUCCCUUCCAACUGAUACUUCCCAAUCAUCUCCAUUCCCCUAUUCAAGCAUCCCCCACAACCCCACUGAAGCACCCUCAUCACCAGCUGCAGGAGCUCAGAGCCCCAUCUUAGAUAAGAACCCAUCUGUGAGUCAGUGUCUCACAGUUGCUCACCUCAGCCACAGCGUGGCAUCCUCUUCAGCUCUGGAUCUGCUGACGUGUAUUUAUUUACCUGUUGGAGUUGCUGCUUCGGGUUACAUUUUAGCCUCUGAUUUACUCCUUUAGUAUUCUCAGGUACAUGUGUGCUAGGCUAGUCAUAACUGUAGUCUCUGGGGUGUUGGUGCGUGCCCUCCAUGUACAGAUAGCUUGUGAGAAUGUAUGACUUCAUCACACCCUGCGACAGAUAACACAAGUCACAGAAUAUCACACCCUCAGGUGUUAAUUCAAAUCCCUCUGGGAACCUAGAUAACAAUUGAGAAUUGCAUAACUUCCGGCUUCUUGAUUAGCAUAGACUCUGUGGGGGUGGGCAAAUGGUUUUAUGCGUAAGAGAAUUUGCUGUUUAAGCAUGGUGACUUAAAUUCAAGUCUCUGUCACCCUCUUAAAAGCCAAGGUUGGACCCAAGCCAGUUAUCUUAGAGCCGUGGAAGGUGGAGGCAGGACAGAUGGGUGAAGCUAACUCCUCGCUGGCCAGCCUCCUGAUUCAGCGGGAGAGCCUGUCUCAAGGCAGAUGGUAACAGAGGAGAACCCCAAUAUCCCCUCUGUUUUCUUUACACACGUGCACAGAUGCACACACCCAUACAACAUGUGUUCCUAUAAACCCUCACAUUCAACACAAAAAACACAAAUUUGAAAAGCAAGCAUUUUUAAACUAAGGAAAAAAUAAUGAAAUAAAAUUCAACUCAACAACAGUCAUUAAACCUAGAUGCCUAUGUAUUACAUAUAAGAGGAAAUAUUUGGCUGCCUGGUCAUUUCCCUUCUGUAUGAAUUAGACCCCACCCCCAAUCCCCAGUAAUUUCCUGAAGGAAAACCCUGAUGGUGAACUUGAUGGAGAAAAUUAGAAGUUUUGCUUCCACCAAAGGUGAAACUGGAGAGAGAACCCUACAGGCGCUAGGAGGCCAGCAUCUCCUAGUUGGCUUUUACUGAUAUGAUCAAACUUCUAUAAAUGAAGAAAUACAGAGCCAUCUUCUCUCCUGGCUUCUGGGCCUCAUCCUUUCCAGCUUCUUUCCCCAGUCCUGUCUGUGUUGUUGCUCUGUGACUAACAGGUUCCUCUGCUGUUAGACCUUACCCUCUCAACAAGGUCCAUGGCCAAUUCUAAAUGAAAACAACAUAAACAAAGUAGUAAGUGGAUUGUCAUUUAAAGGUAAGCUAUUAAUGGUGUAGGCCUUCUGGGUAGAGAUAGGAGUCUAGACAUUGUUAGCGGGUGUGUGUAGCAGCACUGCCUAAGAAUUCACAGAGAGGUCAACCACACUAAUGACUUUCCCUGGUAACAAUUCUCAUUAGAACUACUUCCUCCAAAGGAGUGUCUCAGGAAGGCAGAGCAUGUCCUCCUGAGAGCCAAAGCCAGUGAGGGAGUCAGUCAGGAGCUUCCCUUACCAUUGUUCACCCAGGGCUGAAUCCUCACUACUUUCUCUUCUCGUGCUACUGCUAUGUGCCCAUGGGUGCACACUGCUAAAUUUGCUAUUUGUUCAGAGGAAAACUUAAUUCCCAAUUUGCUUUUGGACACCAAGCUUGAUCUUAAUAACCCUGCCUGACAGUUUGUUAAAAGCUUUCUGAAUCAGGCAGGGCUAAUGGGUUUCUGUUUGCAUGCCAACUCCCAAUGAUUGAUUGGUCGUGGAUGUCUAGCAUAGGGUCUGGGAUCAGACAAAGUUUUAAAAUUCUGGAGCCGGCUCUUGGUAGUUUUGUUAACAUGGACGAGUUUCUUAUCCCCACCUAAACCUCAGUUUCCCCAUUUGGAAGGAUACUGGUGGUAUUCACUUGCUCUAGAAAGUGUACCAAAUGAGAAAUAUACCACAGGUGCAUAACACAGAACUUAGGAACACAGUUUACACCAACUGAAUGCAGCCCUGGUUAGAGGGAAGUGGUGGAGAAGUCCUGAUGUUGUUCUCCUAUUGUUCACAUAUAAGGCUCUGCCCACCUCAUCCUGAGGACUUUAGUGUGUCUCCCUGUGUGGUGACAAGCAUGACUCAGGCAAGACAAUCUCCUCAUCUGCCCCAACUCUGUUCCUUCACUUGUGAAAUGGGGCUAAGAUAGUGUCUCCCUCAUGGAUGGAUGUAGAAAUAUAAAACAGUAUUGCCAGACAAGCUCAGCCCUGUAAGCUCCCUAAAGGAGCUCCCCAGGAAGUGUGGAAGGCUGGGGCGAGGAGUAGGGGAGGGACAGUACACUCACUUAGAAAGGCUUUUUCCUGUCAGCAGCUGUCACUCAUCCCUAUGGAACAAAUGGCAGCAGGGACAAACUGGCACAUCCUGCUGCUCCUCCACGAGGUGCGGUAGUGGGUGGCAUGGUGGCUUCAUUCAUAAGCCCACCUCCACCACCUCUCUUCCACCUGUCAAAACUGCAGGGGCUGCUUAGCACCUCAUGGAAAUUCUAAUCUGCAAUAAAGUCAUCAAUAAAUACAUCUGCCCGUGCAUGCAGGCGGCAGGACACAUUUGAGAAUUCAAAAUCCUAGGUAGAGGAGGGUAUGAACGCCGUCAGCUUGUCCUGUCACCAGGCGUGAUAUCUGAACACUGUUGUCAUCACAGAGCUGUUUGGUAUCUGCCAAGCUUAGAUUUUCCUCUCAAGUGUGAAGUAGACUGUUCAAGAGAAGAAAACUUCAUCAAGCCCCAGAUAGGAGGAAAAAGCCCUGUCCUUGACUUUGUAAAGUGGAAGUUUUGGUCUCUGUAUGUUAGCAUACAGGCCUGUGCUUUGUGGCCCUAAGGGACUUUCUUGUUCCUCCUCAAACCCCUUUGGCUUUCAUUGCCUUCCUCUCCCUCCUCACAUCCCUGCUAUGUAACAGUGACAAGGAACGGCCUGCUGUGUUUGUCACACUCUGCACAGUCACUGAUGAAUUAAGUCACUGCUCAGUAGAUGAACACAAGCCUGCCUGAUGACAGAGACAGACACCUACAGGAUGCUUCCUCUGAGUGUGCACAGGGCUGGCUUUGCUGCCUAUAGUCACAGCAAGUUGGAUUGUUCUAGUAGGGAAAUGGUGCUCUAAUUGUGUUUCCUACAUCUGCGGCAAAUAAAAACUGUCAGAUGUAAGUUGUAAGUUACACACAGGGAAUAAUUCUAGUUCAGGAAAUUAAGUUAGAAGAAUCUUGGUGAAUAUAAAUGUUCUUCCGGUGAGCUUUGUUGAGAUUUGAGCCAGGCAUAUACAUAAAAUCUUACUACUCAGAGGGCUGAGCUGAGGGGAUUGUACCUGUGGUCAGCCUGGGCUAUGCGGUGAGUUCAAAACAAGCCUGUACUACAUAGUAACACUCUGCCAGAAGUUUCACUCGGAAGAGGGAGAAGAAGGAGGGAAGGGAAAGGAAGGA
rnacentral:sRNA from 1 species